rnacentral:rRNA from 1 species
ACUAUCGUUAACUGAAUACAUAGGUUAACGAGGCGAACCGGGGGAACUGAAACAUCUAAGUACCCCGAGGAAAAGAAAUCAACCGAGAUUCCCCCAGUAGCGGCGAGCGAACGGGGAGCAGCCCGGAGUCUGAAUCAGCUUGUGUGUUAGUGGAACGGUCUGGAAAGUCCGACGGUACAGGGUGAUAGUCCCGUACACGAAAGCACACUUGCUGUGAACUCGAAGAGUAGGGCGGGACACGUGGUAUCCUGUCUGAAUAUGGGGGGACCAUCCUCCAAGGCUAAAUACUCCUGACUGACCGAUAGUGAACCAGUACCGUGAGGGAAAGGCGAAAAGAACCCCGGCGAGGGGAGUGAAAAAGAACCUGAAACCGUGUACGUACAAGCAGUGGGAGCACCUUCGUGGUGUGACUGCGUACCUUUUGUAUAAUGGGUCAGCGACUUAUAUUCUGUAGCAAGGUUAACCGUAUAGGGGAGCCGAAGGGAAACCGAGUCUUAACUGGGCGUUAAGUUGCAGGGUAUAGACCCGAAACCCGGUGAUCUAGCCAUGGGCAGGUUGAAGGUUGGGUAACACUAACUGGAGGACCGAACCGACUAAUGUUGAAAAAUUAGCGGAUGACCUGUGGCUGGGGGUGAAAGGCCAAUCAAACCGGGAGAUAGCUGGUUCUCCCCGAAAGCUAUUUAGGUAGCGCCUCGUGAACUCAUCUUCGGGGGUAGAGCACUGUUUCGGCUAGGGGGCCAUCCCGGCUUACCAACCCGAUGCAAACUACGAAUACCGAAGAAUGUUAUCACGGGAGACACACGGCGGGUGCUAACGUCCGUCGUGAAGAGGGAAACAACCCAGACCGCCAGCUAAGGUCCCAAAGUCAUGGUUAAGUGGGAAACGAUGUGGGAAGGCACAGACAGCCAGGAUGUUGGCUUAGAAGCAGCCAUCAUUUAAAGAAAGCGUAAUAGCUCACUGGUCGAGUCGGCCUGCGCGGAAGAUGUAACGGGGCUAAACCAUGCACCGAAGCUGCGGCAGCGACACUAUGUGUUGUUGGGUAGGGGAGCGUUCUGUAAGCCGUUGAAGGUGUGCUGUGAGGCAUGCUGGAGGUAUCAGAAGUGCGAAUGCUGACAUAAGUAACGAUAAAGCGGGUGAAAAGCCCGCUCGCCGGAAGACCAAGGGUUCCUGUCCAACGUUAAUCGGGGCAGGGUGAGUCGACCCCUAAGGCGAGGCCGAAAGGCGUAGUCGAUGGGAAACAGGUUAAUAUUCCUGUACUUGGUGUUACUGCGAAGGGGGGACGGAGAAGGCUAUGUCAGCCGGGCGACGGUUGUCCCGGUUUAAGCAUGUAGGCGGAGGUUCCAGGUAAAUCCGGUACCUUAUUAACGCUGAGGUGUGAUGACGAGGCACUACGGUGCUGAAGUGAUAAAUGCCCUGCUUCCAGGAAAAGCCUCUAAGCAUCAGGUAACACGAAAUCGUACCCCAAACCGACACAGGUGGUCAGGUAGAGAAUACCAAGGCGCUUGAGAGAACUCGGGUGAAGGAACUAGGCAAAAUGGUGCCGUAACUUCGGGAGAAGGCACGCUGAUGUGUAGGUGAAGUCCCUGCGGACGGAGCUGAAAUCAGUCGAAGAUACCAGCUGGCUGCAACUGUUUAUUAAAAACACAGCACUGUGCAAACACGAAAGUGGACGUAUACGGUGUGACGCCUGCCCGGUGCCGGAAGGUUAAUUGAUGGGGUUAGCUGUAAGGCGAAGCUCUUGAUCGAAGCCCCGGUAAACGGCGGCCGUAACUAUAACGGUCCUAAGGUAGCGAAAUUCCUUGUCGGGUAAGUUCCGACCUGCACGAAUGGCGUAAUGAUGGCCAGGCUGUCUCCACCCGAGACUCAGUGAAAUUGAACUCGCUGUGAAGAUGCAGUGUACCCGCGGCAAGACGGAAAGACCCCGUGAACCUUUACUAUAGCUUGACACUGAACACUGGUCCUUGAUGUGUAGGAUAGGUGGGAGGCUUUGAAGCGUGGACGCCAGUCUGCGUGGAGCCGCCCUUGAAAUACCACCCUUUAAUGGCUGGUGUUCUAACGUAGACCCGUAAUCCGGGUUGCGGACAGUGUCUGGUGGGUAGUUUGACUGGGGCGGUCUCCUCCCAAAGAGUAACGGAGGAGCACGAAGGUUGGCUAAUCCUGGUCGGACAUCAGGAGGUUAGUGCAAUGGCAUAAGCCAGCUUGACUGCGAGCGUGACGGCGCGAGCAGGUGCGAAAGCAGGUCAUAGUGAUCCGGUGGUUCUGAAUGGAAGGGCCAUCGCUCAACGGAUAAAAGGUACUCCGGGGAUAACAGGCUGAUACCGCCCAAGAGUUCAUAUCGACGGCGGUGUUUGGCACCUCGAUGUCGGCUCAUCACAUCCUGGGGCUGAAGUAGGUCCCAAGGGUAUGGCUGUUCGCCAUUUAAAGUGGUACGCGAGCUGGGUUUAGAACGUCGUGAGACAGUUCGGUCCCUAUCUGCCGUGGGCGCUGGAGAAUUGAGGGGGGCUGCUCCUAGUACGAGAGGACCGGAGUGGACGCAUCACUGGUGUUCGGGUUGUCAUGCCAAUGGCACUGCCCGGUAGCUAAAUGCGGAAGAGAUAAGUGCUGAAAGCAUCUAAGCACGAAACUUGCCCCGAGAUGAGUUCUCCCUGAGACUUUAAGUCUCCUGAAGGAACGUUGAAGACGACGACGUUGAUAGGUCGGGUGUGUAAGCGCAGCGAUGCGUUGAGCUAACCGAUACUAAUGAACCGUGAGGCUUAACC